GAUGAACGCUGGCGGCGUGCCUAAUACAUGCAAGUCGAGCGAACAGAUAAGGAGCUUGCUCCUUUGACGUUAGCGGCGGACGGGUGAGUAACACGUGGAUAACCUACCUAUAAGACUGGGAUAACUUCGGGAAACCGGAGCUAAUACCGGAUAACAUAUUGAACCGCAUGGUUCAAUAGUGAAAGGCGGCUUUGCUGUCACUUAUAGAUGGAUCCGCGCCGUAUUAGCUAGUUGGUAAGGUAACGGCUUACCAAGGCAACGAUACGUAGCCGACCUGAGAGGGUGAUCGGCCACACUGGAACGGAGACACGGUCCAGACUCCGACGGGAGGCAGCAGUAGGGAAUCUUCCGCAAUGGGCGAAAGCCUGACGGAGCAACGCCGCGUGAGUGAUGAAGGUCUUCGGAUCGUAAAACUCUGUUAUCAGGGAAGAACAAAUGUGUAAGUAACUGUGCACAUCUUGACGGUACCUGAUCAGAAAGCCACGGCUAACUACGUG
rnacentral:rRNA from 1 species